GCUUCCGUAGCGUAGAGGUUAGCAUGUCCGCCUAUGACGCCGAACGCCUGGGUUCGAAUCCUUGCGAGAACA
rfam:Stomoxys calcitrans breed 8C7A2A5H3J4 unplaced genomic scaffold Scaffold600, whole genome shotgun sequence.